rnacentral:pre_miRNA from 1 species
CGUCCGCAUGACCAUUUUAAGGACGGUAUUUGUGACAAUAUGUGCAGUUAAAUCAAUUUGUUUAGCAUAUUGCACAUCUCCCGGCCUAAAAAUGAACCGUGCUCUCU